rnacentral:lncRNA from 1 species
CCGGCGCUGGGCGCUACAGCGGCUCCCGGUGCGCCCCUCACCAGGUAGCCGCUCUCCUCUCUGGUGUGGUUGGAAGAAGAGCCUCCCGCCCCAGCUGUCCCUUCCGAGUGGGCCUCGGUGUCUGGGCUAUCUAGACGGAGCUGCCAUUUCCACCUGGAGGUCUGGGUCUGUUGCUCACAGGGCCUCUGCAUAGGCUGGGACUGCCGGCUAGGCCAGGAGACCUGGCAGCUGCGGACUCCCCAGCUCGGAGCAGCCCCUCUUUGACCUCGCAUGGUGGAGAAGCAG